CCGUGCUGAGAUUUCGUCACACACCAGACCACAAGGGCUGAUGAGACUUCCAAG
rnacentral:pre_miRNA from 1 species